UGGGUUUGACAUAUACCGGAAAGCCGUAGAGAUACGGCCCCCCUUGUGGUCGGUAUACAGGUGGUGCAUGGCUGUCGUCAGCUCGUGUCGUGAGAUGUUGGGUUAAGUCCCGCAACGAGCGCAACCCUCGUCUUAUGUUGCCAGCACGUAAUGGUGGGGACUCAUAAGAGACUGCCGGGGUCAACUCGGAGGAAGGUGGGGAUGACGUUUCCAGGUUAGG
rnacentral:misc_RNA from 1 species